ensembl:processed_transcript D930015M05Rik RIKEN cDNA D930015M05 gene
UGAAGCACAUGUAAGGCUGCCUGAGUGCUCCCCUCAGUUAGACUUUUUACAUGAGAGUUUUGAUUUUUCUCCUUGACAUCCCAGUAUGUGGGUCCCAGCAGUAGGGCAGCUGACUAGAGCUACAGAAUGGUUCACAGAUGUGAGGGUUAAUCUUGGCUGUCAUCUUGAUUGGAUUUGGGAGCACAGGGCCUAGUCUCCGAGUGGGUCUGUGAGAGCGUGCCCUAGAAGGACUAACUGAGGAUAGGCAUCUCCCCAGGGCAGUGCCUUCUAGCAGUAGCCCAGAUAUGGCGUUCCAAGAGAAGAGCUUCUGCCUGACUGACUGCGCUCCUUGAUGCUAACUAAGUGCAUCUACUCCACUGCUGCUGCUACUGCCGUUCUUCACUGACAUCAGAGCCCAGCUUCUCUGACGUAUGCAUAUUGAAGACCAGAGGCUCUCCAGGAAUCCCUCUGGCCUUCAGCACCUGCCUUGCAGAAUGUGCAGUUCCUGGCUUCUGAGUCUCUCCACUGUGCAGUUGGCCACUGUUGGACUCCCUCACCCUCUGAAUCUACCUAGGCUCUGCUGUUUGACUCUGCUGGUGCUGCGCUGACCCCAGGCACUGCUGCCCUUGGAUUCUGGGUGCUCUCCCCAGCAAUCAGCUUGCUGUUCACGGCCCCCAUCUGUCUCCAACCCACAGGUCUCUCUGGACCACUCAUGUGCUGCACCUGCUAGCUGCUAUUCACUUUAGGAAACCACAGGAAGCAGCGGCCUGUGUGGUGUGCUGCAGGGCACACUCACCCAGUUCCUCUAGGGAAGGCACGCCAUAGGUGUCAUCAUGGUUCUCCUGGAUCUCAGCCCUGCAGCUCUCCAUCUGCUGGCUGCUCACAGCCACCGUGGGCUUCUUGGGCAGCUCCAUGCGGCUGAUGAGGGCCUGAAAGCGCUUGUAGAUGCAGGUCUCUGGAGGCCCUGGGAGCACAACGAGGCCCAAGGUUCACUGCCAUGCUCGGCAGCGGCCUACCAGCUACAACCCCUGAAAUCCCAUUCUCAGUAUCUGAAUCCCCACAUGACUUGAGAUGUCACCCAAGCAUCUGAGCUGCCUCGUUCCUUUUCUGCUUCAUUCUCUCCAAAGUGCCACUACAAAAAGGUGACCCACAGAAAUCAAAAAAUAAAAAAACAUAAAAUCAAGUAUACUGGAGUUCAAUCU